rnacentral:lncRNA from 1 species
CUCCUGAACCCCUGAAGCGAUCGCUAUCCACUACCUGACAGUCUGCCUGAAGCCUCUACUCCUACUCCUGUCAGCACGUCACCUCUACUGCUUUGUGUCUUCUGCCAAACAAUUAAAGCCACACAAUGCUUUCUGUUUAUCCACAAAGCCUUUUAAAGGCCCUAAAACCCAGGCUAUAUCGGAAUCACACUCCUGAUGGGACUUCUGUAACUUUUCGACCAUCCGAUCAUGCCUC